rnacentral:rRNA from 1 species
CGAGCAAUGCCGCGUGAGCGAAGAAGGUCUUCGGAUUGUAAAGCUCUGUUGCCGGGGAAAAAGGAAGGAAAGAGGAAAUGCUUUUCUUUGGAUGGUACCCGGCCAGAAAGUCACGGCUAACUACGUGCC